AACGCGAAGAACCUUACCUACUUUUGACAUCCUGCGAAUUGACCUGAAAGGGUUAAGUGCCGAAAGGAGCGCAGAGACAGGUGCUGCAUGGCUGUCGUCAGCUCGUGUUGUGAGAUGUUGGGUUAAGUCCCGUAACGAGCGCAACCCUUGCCCUUAGUUGCCAGCGAGUAAAGUUGGGGACUCUAAGGGGACUGCCGGUGAUGAACCGGAGGAAGGCGGGGAUGACGUCAAGUCAUCAUGGCCUUUAUAAGUAGGGCCACACACGUGCUACAAUGGGACGUACAAAGGGAAGCGAAGCUGCAAAGUGAAGCGAAACUCAAAAAGCGUCUCGUAGUCCGGAUUGGAGUCUGCAACUCGACUCCAUGAAGUCGGAAUCGCUAGUAAUCGCGAAUCAGCCAUGUCGCGGUGAAUACGUUCCCGGGCCUUGUACACACCGUGUCGA
rnacentral:rRNA from 1 species